GGGGCUAGCUCAGUGGUAGAGCACUUGCCCAGGAAGCAUGGGGUUCUGGGUUCAAUCCCCAGUACCUCCA
rnacentral:tRNA from 1 species